AGGGAUGUAGCUCAGUUGGUAGAGCAACGGUCUCCAAAACCGUCGGUCGGGGGUUCGAUUCCCUCCAUCCCUGC
rnacentral:tRNA from 1 species